CGCCAUUUCAUGUUCUUAAUCAUCUAUGUCUUAAUCGUAGAGUAGAGCCUAUUUGGCAACUCCACUUGAUUUGUUGUGCUGUGAAACUCAAGUAUGUAAGAUUUUUGUAUGUGUAUGCAAUGCAUCAUGUGAUAAUGUCAAUUCCUUUACCUUCAUAAAAAAAGAGGAUUCUCUCUCUUUUCACUUUAGCAGCAGUUACAUGUAUCUUACUAAUAAGACCUGCAUUUGACUCAAAAACUUCAAUCCACCCAGUUAAAAAACUAAUAAACAUGACUACCUGCUGCACAGUUAGCUACAGGUAGCAAAUGCUUGUCCUCUGUCUCAGAUAGCUCUGUCUCAGAUAGCUAUACCACUCUUUCCUAACAAAGGUAAAGAUAUUGCAUCUUUAAAAUAAGUUCACUGAGAUCUUAGUCUUGCUCUUAGUAUUUGUUUGCAUGCAAUGUGUAUUCAAACUCCUAGUUAUCUAUAAAAUGUGAUACUAACAUGAAGAAGUUUGCAACUCAUGACAGUUUUACUAAGCAAAGAGAAAAUGAUAUUAAGUUUAUUAGUUUUUUAACUGGAUACAUUCAAGUUUUUGAGUCAAUUGCAGGUAUUGUUAUAAUUAGUGAGACAACGUACUGCUGCUUAGAAGAUGGCAUCCAUCAGAAUUUUCAGUUGAUCCAACAGAAGAAGUUAUUCUAGACACAUAUAGUCCCUUAGAUUUUAAAAAGAAAGUGAAUGUAUAAUAAAAUAAUGUUGUGAGACUCUUUCCUUUAGCUUUCAGAGUUAAGUGGAGUUACUGUUGAUGCCAUUUCUGUUGCAACAUAUUUGAGAUCAUUUCCAGCUGAGAUAUCACGUCUUGAUAUUGCGAAUGAGUUGCAAUGGAAUCAAGCAUCACUGUAUGAUGCUGAUGGAGAUGUCAUUUAUUACAAAGACAAUAGAGA